rfam:Daphnia pulex DAPPTscaffold_122_Cont5054, whole genome shotgun sequence.
GUAUUCCAUACGGAAUAUAUAUACUAAAAUUGCAACGAUACAGAUAAGAUUAGCAUGGCCCCUGCGCAAAGGCUGACACGCAAAGGAUGACACGCAAAAUCGUGAAGCGUUCCACAUUUUU